CUAGAGAAUAGCCAAGAGAAAUUUUGAUUAAUGCUCUAUACUCUUUUUAACUCACAUGAGUUUUUAAGAAAAGCUCCGGCGGUAAAAGAUGGGCAUGCGUCCUAUUAGCUUGUAGGUGAGGUAACGGCUCACCUAAGCUCCGAUAGGUAGGGGUCCUGAGAGGGAGAUCCCCCACACUGGUACUGAGACACGGACCAGACUUCUACGGAAGGCAGCAGUAAGGAAUAUUGGACAAUGGAGGAAACUCUGAUCCAGCGAUGCCGCGUGAAGGAAGACGGCCCUAUGGGUUGUAAACUUCUUUUAUACAGGAAGAAACCUUUCCACGUGUGGAAAGCUGACGGUACUGUAAGAAUAAGGAUCGG
rnacentral:rRNA from 1 species